ACCUGUCUGGUUUAGUCGGUAGAGCAUGAGACUCUUGAUCUCAGGAUCAUGAGUUCAAGCCCCAUGUUGGGCC
rnacentral:tRNA from 1 species